UACGAGGGGGGCAAGCGUUGCUCGGAAUGACUGGGCGUAAAGGGCGCGUAGGCGGUUUGUACAGUCAGGUGUGAAAUUCCCGGGCUCAACCUGGGGGCUGCAUUUGAUACGUGUGAUCUAGAGUGAGGAAGAGGGUCGUGGAAUUCCCAGUGUAGAGGUGAAAUUCGUAGAUAUUGGGAAGAACACCGGUGGCGAAGGCGGCGACCUGGUCCUUGACUGACGCUGAGGCGCGAAAGCGUGGGGAGCAAACAGG
rnacentral:rRNA from 1 species